GAUAAACGCUGACAGAAUGCUUAACACAUGCAAGUCGAUGAUGGGAAGCUAAGCCUAGCUUAGAAGAAGUCAUGGCGGACGGGUGAGUAACGUGUAAAGAACUUGCCCUCUAGACUGGGAUAACAGAUAGAAAUGUCUGAUAAUACCGGAUAUUAUUGUUACAUGGCAUCAUGUAGGAAUGAAAGGAUAAGAUUGCUAGAGGAGAGCUUUGCGUCCCAUUAGCUCGUUGGUGAGGUAACGGCCCACCAAGGCAAUGAUGGGUAGCCGGCCUGAGAGGGUGAACGGCCACAAGGGGACUGAGACACGGCCCUU
rnacentral:rRNA from 1 species